AGAGUUUGAUCCUGGCUCAGAUUGAACGCUGGCGGUAUGCUUAACACAUGCAAGUCGAACGGUAACAGCAGAGCUUGCUCUGGCUGACGAGUGGCGGACGGGUGCGUAACGCGUGGGAAUCUACCUUGUAGUGGGGGAUAGCCCGGAGAAAUCCGGAUUAACACCGCAUAAUCUCUACGGAGGAAAAGGGGCCUCUUCUUGAAAGCUCCUGCUAUUAGAUGAGCCCGCGUUGGAUUAGCUUGUUGGUAGGGUAAUGGCCUACCAAGGCGACAAUCCAUAGCUGGUUUGAGAGGAUGAUCAGCCACACUGGGACUGAGACACGGCCCAGACUCCUACGGGAGGCAGCAGUGGGGAAUAUUGGACAAUGGGCGAAAGCCUGAUCCAGCAAUACCGCGUGUGUGAAGAAGGCCUGAGGGUUGUAAAGCACUUUCAAUAGAGACGAAAAGCUUAAGGCUAAUAACCUUGAGUCUUGACUUAACCUAUAGAAGAAGCACCGGCUAACUAAGUGCCAGCAGCCGCGGUAAUACUUAGGGUGCAAGCGUUAAUCGGAAUUACUGGGCGUAAAGCGCUCGUAGGCGGCUUGUAAAGUCGGAUGUGAAAUCCCCGGGCUCAACCUGGGAACUGCAUUCGAUACUGGCAAGCUAGAGUAUAUUAAAGGCAAGCGGAAUUCCGGGUGUAGCGGUGAAAUGCGUAAAUAUC
rnacentral:rRNA from 1 species